rnacentral:rRNA from 1 species
GAUGAACGCUGGCGGCGUGCCUAAUACAUGCAAGUCGAGCGAACAGAUGCUGCUCUUGCUCGUCUCACGUUAGCGGCGGGCGGGUGAGUAACACGUGUAUCCCCUCCCUGUAAGACUGGUAUCUUCUCGGGAAUCCGGAUAUUAUACGGGAUAAUCUAUUGAACCGCGUGGUUCAAUAGUGAAAGUCGGUUUUUCUGUCUCUUCUAGCUGGUUCUGCGCCGGUUUAGCUAGUUGGUACGGUAACGGCUUACCAAGGCUAGGAUGCGUAGCCGACUUGAGAGGGUGAUCGGCCACACUGGAACUGAGACACGGUCCAGACUCCUACGGGAGGCAGCAGUAGGGAAUCUUCCGCAAUGGGCGAAAGCCUGACGGAGCAACGCCGCGUGAGUGAUGAAGGUCUUCGGAUCGUAAAACUCUGUUAUUAGGGAAGAACAAAUGUGUAAGUAACUAUGCACGUCUUGACGGUACCUAAUCAGAAAGCCACGGCUAACUACGUG